rnacentral:lncRNA from 1 species
CCUUUCUCUCUCUCUUCCUUCCUAUCUCUUUGCAGCCAGGAGAAAACUUCCCUCCAUUCGGAGCCCGGAUUGCCCUCCUUGCUCCCUACACCUGUGACAACUCCUUCAGGUGCCGGCAGUGGGCGUCCCAGUGCAUCACCUGCCUUAUGCACAUACAAGCCAAGACGAGAGUCACCUUAGAAGCAGAAGAAGAAAUGCUCUCUGCCUGCAUUGGUUUACAGACCGACGUCCCCAGCGAUCUGUUCAGAGCAUCCUCCAGAAUAGCAAAGGUGGUUAGUGCCUAUUUUCCACCAGAGCAAGCUCUGGACUUCAUGCAGGUCAUUCUUGAAGACCUGGUCUCCGGACAUGAAACGUGUGCUAUUGCUGCAGGCCACUGGCUUCUAAC